rnacentral:tRNA from 1 species
GGCCCUGUGGCGCAAUGGAUAGCGCAUUGGACUUCUAAUUCAAAGGUUGUGGGUUCAAGUCCCACAAGGGUCA